GACAGAGGGGGCAAGCGUUGCUCGGAAUUACUGGGCGUAAAGGGCGCGUAGGCGGGAUGGCAAGUCGGUCGUGAAAUCCCUCGGCUCAACCGAGGAACGUCGAUCGAUACUGCUGUUCUUGAGGAUUGCAGAGGAGACUGGAAUUCCCGGUGUAGCGGUGAAAUGUGUAGAGAUCGGGAGGAACACCGGUGGCGAAGGCGACACGCUGGGCCGUACCUGACACUGAUGCGCGACAGCAUGGGGAGCAAACAGG
rnacentral:rRNA from 1 species